AAAGAUGGCGUCGGAUGGAAAAGUGGUCCACAUGAAAAUUGUGCGCGUCGUCGAGGCGAAAAACUUUGCUUUUGGAGUCGUCCCAAUCCGAGGUCUACUGUCGAUUGUGUAUUAAUUUUUGUUAUUUCUCGAAAUCGAUUAUAGAUUAAUUUUCGUAACUUUCUGUCAGCUGUUACUGAUUUGAUCAUAUGUUUUGAUUGGUAAGUUCAAUUGAGCUGAUUCUUCUUGCGUUGGUUAGAUAAUUUCAAUACUUUUUUUUUGCAUACUCAUACAUAUUUUUUGGUUCAUCCAAUCAAAAGUUUUGGCUUUUUUACUAUCACGGACAGAAAGGUGAUUUAGGAUUUGAAUUUUCGGAAAAAGUUUUAAUUGGAUUCCGCGCAAUCAUUCGCCCCUCUCUCUGAUUGCCUAUCUCGAUUUCACAACUUCAACCAACAGAUAAACAAUCCAGAGUUGCUUUGUUACCAACAGAAGAGAUCUCACAUAUGAUCACCACAGAAAGGUGGAUUUGUGCGCAGAGAGGGGGCGGGGAGACGCUGGAGUAGGCCGCCGGCGACGGCGGAUGGGCUGCUGAGCCGUGGCGCGUGGAAGGACCGCAACAGCUCACUCGCCAGUCCAGGCACCAGUAAAGCAGAAGCCCCCAAACGGCCACCAGCACUAGAAACGCACGCAGCUACAGCACCUCCACACUCCACGUACAGAACCUGGGAAAAGCACGUAAAGAAAGACCUUCGGUCCCACCCCACUCCAGCAAUCAACAUCACCGAAGACAAAAGGAAACAAAC
rnacentral:lncRNA from 1 species